AGCGAACGCUGGCGGCAGGCUUAACACAUGCAAGUCGAGCGGGCAUAGCAAUAUGUCAGCGGCAGACGGGUGAGUAACGCGUGGGAACGUACCUUUUGGUUCGGAACAACACAGGGAAACUUGUGCUAAUACCGGAUAAGCCCUUACGGGGAAAGAUUUAUCGCCGAAAGAUCGGCCCGCGUCUGAUUAGCUAGUUGGUGAGGUAAUGGCUCACCAAGGCGACGAUCAGUAGCUGGUCUGAGAGGAUGAUCAGCCACAUUGGGACUGAGACACGGCCCAAACUCCUAGGGAAGGAGGCAGUGGGGAUAUUUGGAAAUGGGCGGAAAGCCUGACCCGGCAAGGCGGGGGGAGUAAGGAAGGCCCUAGGUUGGUAAAGCUCUUUUGGCCGGGAGAUAAUGACGGUACCGCAAGAAUAAGCCCCGGCUAACUUCGUG
rnacentral:rRNA from 1 species